AGACCAGUUCAUGCAUGCACACAAGUCUGGACAGGAAUGAUCUAAAAGCACCUGUUCUUCUGGACACAUGAUUGUCUGAUUCUGAAUAGAUCUAUCAAGUUUAACUUGAGUCUCAAACUCCCGGUCUCGGGGCCAUAUACGGCCCGCAAAGACUGGAUGACACUAAUAACUGAAUGUUGCACUUGUGGUGAUUUUUUUUUCUAUUAUUAAUAUAUAUAUAUAUAAUUAAUUAAAUGCUUCAGUUGGUCAUUUAAGAAUGAGACAAUUUUGUACUUGCUGUUUAUACAUCUCUGCUGUAGGCUGUAGAACAGAGAUGGACAAUGUUUUAUUUUCACACUUUUUUCUGCACUUGUGCAGAUAAAAAAAAGCAAUGAACCACAUGAUCAAAUUAAGCCAAAACAUCCACAUAUUAUUAUUUUGUUUUUGCUAAAUGCACUGAGACAUCGCGUUGCCUGUGGCUACUUUGAAAUCAUGUUGCGUUUCCUCCACAAAUAAUGCCUUUUAUUGUCAAGAUCCAAUGAAAAAAGUCAGUUUCUGGUUUGCAUUUGCAGGAAGGAAAUACUGCAACUGACAGAUACUACACACAAGUGGAACAUCAUAUAACCUAGCUGUAUGACAUGCUUGAAUGGACACAAAUGUCCUGUAUUCAGCAGUGGGAGGUGAACACUAAUCUGGUAUGUUCUAAGACAUAAGAGGCAUCAGUACUAUUAUUUGCCUCAUGUGAGGUAUUUAUUAUGACAUUUUAGCAGCUGCCUUACAGCAACCAAAUCCCUCUAGACUGAAAUAUGAAUACAUCAAAUCAUACUCAAUGAAACUUUAUAAAGACUUUACAAAAUCUGUGACAUCGGGUUACUAUUUAUUGUCAUGUAAAGACAGUGGAACGAGAGAAUACAUUAGCUUCUCCAAUCAAGCGAAAGUAGGUCCAAAUGAAAUAUCAAUGCCGUGAACACAUAUAAAUACACGCGUUUACUUUCAUGCCCAAUUAGUCCCACAAACACAUUAAUAGUUUGCUGGUAAAGCGGUGAAGCUCAUUAACCUCUUCAACCUCACUCAGACAUUCUGGCGACGCCGUCCAAAACUACUUAAUCACACACCAGGGUGGAUGAUACACUCACACACUCGUGUAAGGAAAGUUUGUGGCAUUUACCAAAGACAGUCCUUGAAGAACUAGGCAGCAGACAUUUUCAUUUGAGAGAAAACAAAUGAAAUUUCAAAUGGAAGUUAUUUAUCCAUCAGCUGGAAGAAAUUCAAAAGUCUCAGUGACACAGUAAUUACUGGCAAAAGCUUUUACUGUGAGGCAGCUUUGUGGAACUGCACAUCAGAGUGUUUCAUAUCUGCUGAGGACUCACUGAUAAAAGCUCCAACCGGCACGGCUAGAUUUACUGCCACUGCUUCAGGAGAAACCUGCUUUGCUGUGUUUUACAAAAUACAGCAAAGUGUAGAGAAGUGAAAUGGAAAAAAAAAGAUGUCAGGUGAAUUGAUUAAAAACAGCAAACUGGAUAGAGACCCAUCCAUCCAUCCAUCCAUCUAUCAAUAAAUCCAAGGCACCACGAUUGGGAUGCAGGCCAAAUACAGGAAUCAAAGUUCAGUUCUUUAUUUUAACAAGUCCAAAACAGGAGCAGGAAGAGCUGUGCCUAGAACAGAGAACACGGACCAGGGAGGACAGAAACAGACAGGAAGGACAAACAGGCAGGACCGAGUUCUGGUCAUGGAAGAAUCACAGAUCAGAAAAAGAGAGCUGACAGAAGUCUCCAGCAACAAACAACAAGGACCCAACAAGGACAGAGAGGGGGAGAGGGGUAUAUAUACCCAGGGCACCAGUAUGUGGUGUUUGUCCAACGUCCAUCCUCCCAUGGUGGAAGCGUCAAGCUCAAAUCCCUGCAGCGUGGCCGUCCUCUUCUCCCACAGCACGACAUCCAGGCAGGACUCGUACUCAUAUCCCACAGACACUGAAGUUAACGACAGCAGAGGCCUGUGAUCAGCACGGUUAUGACCUGCGUACCUGACCCUUACUGCAGCUCCCUGCUUAUAGACCGCACAUAAACCAGUCAGCGCACGUUGGGGGCCGCUCCCAGUAUGUGCUUAUUCUGCUGUUCUCAUUGACUCUGUAAUUUUCUCCAGCUGGGAUGAUUUUAAAAGGCCCAUGGGGGUUUGUGCGUCUCACCUGCGCAGUCUGUAUUUUAUGUGUUCUCCACUCAUUUGUCUGUUUUAUAUUGUGUAAAUGCAAAUAAAGCACAAAUAGGGA